rnacentral:tRNA from 2 species
UGGGGCGUCGUCAAGCGGUAAGACACAGGACUUUGAUUCCUGCAUCCGGAGGUUCGAAUCCUCCCGCCCCAACCA